rnacentral:rRNA from 1 species
GACGAACGCUGGCGGCGUGCUUAACACAUGCAAGUCGAACGGAAAGGCCCUGCUUUUGUGGGGUGCUCGAGUGGCGAACGGGUGAGUAACACGUGAGUAACCUGCCCUUGACUUUGGGAUAACUUCAGGAAACUGGGGCUAAUACCGGAUAGGAGCUCCUGCUGCAUGGUGGGGGUUGGAAAGUUUCGGCGGUUGGGGAUGGACUCGCGGCUUAUCAGCUUGUUGGUGGGGUAGUGGCUUACCAAGGCUUUGACGGGUAGCCGGCCUGAGAGUGUGACCGGCCCCAGUGUGACUGAGAUACCGCCCAGACUCCUUCGGCAGGCAGCAGUGGGGGUCUGUGCACAAUGGGCGGAGGCCGUAUGCAGCAACGCCGCGUGCGGGAGGACGGCUGUCGGGUUGGAACCCGCUUUCGCCUGGGACGAACCGUCAGUGACGGUAAUUGGUAAAGAAGCACCGGCUAACUACGUG